AAAGUUAGCUAGACAAUCGCUGUUUAAUACAGAGGAAAGUCCGGGCCCUAAAGAGCAAGAUGCCAGGUAAUUCCUGGGAGGAGUGAUCCUACGACUAGUGCAACAGAAAAAAAACCGCCACUUUUGUUGGUAAGGGUGAAAAGGUGCGAUAAGAGCGUACCGCAAUUUAUGGUAACAUAAUUGGCAGUGUAAACUCCAUCUAGGGCAAGGCCAAAUAAAAGCUUGAUUGCUCGUCUUUAAGCUUUGGUAGGCUGCAAGAAUAAAUAUGUGAAUGUUUAUCUAGAUAAAUGAUUGUCCAAGACAGAACCCGGCUUACAGCUAACUUUAUUU
rnacentral:RNase_P_RNA from 22 species